UACAGAGGUCUCAAGCGUUGUUCGGAUUCAUUGGGCGUAAAGGGCGCGUAGGCGGCGAGGUAAGUCGGGUGUGAAAUCUCAGAGCUCAACUCUGAAACUGCACUCGAUACUGCUUUGCUAGAGGACUGGAGAGGAGAUUGGAAUUCACGGUGUAGCAGUGAAAUGCGUAGAGAUCGUGAGGAAGACCAGUGGCGAAGGCGGAUCUCUGGACAGUUCCUGACGCUGAGGCGCGAAGGCCAGGGGAGCAAACGGGG
rnacentral:rRNA from 1 species